rnacentral:rRNA from 1 species
UACGUAGGGUGCAAGCGUUAAUCGGAAUUACUGGGCGUAAAGUGUGCGCAGGCGGCCGAGCAAGUCGAGUGUGAAAGCCCCGAGCUUAACUUGGGAACUGCGCUCGAAACUACUUGGCUGGAGUGUGGCAGAGGAAGGUGGAAUUCCACGUGUAGCGGUGAAAUGCGUAGAGAUGUGGAGGAACACCGAUGGCGAAGGCAGCCUUCUGGGCCAACACUGACGCUCAUGCACGAAAGCGUGG